UCUGAUCGCGGUUCCAACAUGACUGUGGAUUUCGCCGACUACUUUUGGGGCGAAAAGAAUAAUGGAUUUGACGUGUUAUAUCAUAACAUGAAGCAUGGUGCAGUUGCAAGCAAGGAGUUGGCUGAGUUUCUAAAAGAACGAUCAACUAUAGAAGAAAAUAAUUAUAAAGUUCUGAGUAAGCUAGCUAAACAAGCUGGCAGUAGCAGUAGUAUACAAGGAACAUUUGCACCUGUUUGGGCUGCCUUAAGAGGUGCAGCAGAAAAGCUAGCUGGUUUGCACUUGCAAAUGGCCCAAAGGGUCACUGAACUAAUAAAAGAUGUAUCAAAAUAUACAGAUGAAUUGCAUAAAAAACACAAGGCUGUAAAAGAAGAAGAAUCAUCCACCUUGGAAGUUGUACAAAGUAUUCAGAGUAUCACUGUGACUUUACAUAAGGCAAAAGAUAUGCGUAUGCAAAAAGGGCUUGAAUUAGAAAAAUUGAGGAAAGACAAUGCUAGCCAGAAAGAAUUAGAAAAAGCAGAGAUUAAAUUUAAAAAAGCACAGGAUGAUUACAAAACUUUGGUUGAUAAAUACAUGAUCAUAAGGAAUGAUUUUCAAACUAAAAUGACACAGGCAUGCAGGCGGUUUCAAGAUGUGGAGGAAACACACUUAAAACAUAUGAAGGAGUUCUUAAAUAUUUAUGCAGAUGUUUUACAGUCAAAUCACGAACAAGUUGGUCAGGUUCAUAUUGAUUUUAAACGGCAGUGUUUGGACAUGACAGUGGAUAAAUUACUAGAACAAUUUGUACAAAGCAAAUAUACAGGUUUUGAGAAGCCAGGUACAUUCGAAUAUGAAGAGAUCAUGACGGGUUUAGGAGAAAUGACCAGUCAUUCCCAAAUGGAAAGCAAUGUUGAAACACCUAAGGAAACAUCAAAAGGAGCAAAUGGAGAAACAGGCGUUGCUGGUAACACUCACAGUUCAAAAAACGAUCGGGGAUUAAAAGGGGAGGGUUGUCAGGUGGAUGAGGAAAAAGGGACAGUACAAGAAAAAAAAAAUGAAAGACUGAAUGAAAGAGAUAGAGAACUAUCACAUGCACAAGCCACCAAGGCUUCCCGCCGUACUGCCUCGCUACUCAACCUGUUCAUGUCCAACUCCCAGGACAAACAGAAGCAAGCAGGGUCUGGUUCGGCACCUGCAACUCCUCAGGGGAACAACCUGCCUCCUGCUGUUCCACCUCCCAGCAUCUCCAGGAACCCUCUCAGAGGAUCUAAAUGGUUUCUUCGCAGCAGAAGAGAAAAAAGAAAGGAAAAGAAGGCGAAAAAGAAGAAGGAUAUUGUGGAAACGAGUAGCAACAAAGAAGAAAAGUCUGACCUGGAGGAUAAGGAUGACAGUAGAAAGUCUGAAACACCGACACCAGAAGUAGAUGAGGAUGGUUUCUGUAUUAGACCGAAAGCAGAGCCGUGGGAGAAUGAAAAAGGAUUUUAUUCUAGCUCAGAUACCGAUUCCGAAGACGAAAGGGAACGAAAGAUUCGGGUGGAAAUAAAACCACUUAGCAAUGGCGGAGCACCGAUGAGCGCCAGCGUAGACGAACUUAGGGCGACAGUGGAAAAUUUAUCUUUAUCGCCUGCACCGACGGGACGCAGAGGAUCGAAUACCGACUCAGAUCAUCAUAUGAAAAGGUCUCAGUCAGUGUCACAGCAAUUAGGAGGUAAGCCAAGCUCGGAUUUACUUGGCCUAAACUUGUUCAAUCCUAGCAGUACACCAUCGAGUGCUUCAACGCCAACUGGUAGUCAUCCGUACGCGUCAUUGCAAAGUCCUCCGCCACUGUCUUUGUCACCGACGCCUCAACCACAGCCGCCACAAUCCGCACCACCUACACAUCCUCACCCACGAUUCCCUGAUGGAGAUUUAUUUUCGGAAGUGGGAGAUAUCACUCCGGCCUUACCCCCUAAACAAUCCGCGUCCUCCACUCCAACAGGUUCUAUUAUCAUUCCUAGACCGCCGUCCCGAAGAGGAGAAGGUCCUUCACCAAGGGGUAGAAUGUCACCGGCAACUAUAUCUAGAGCUGACAGCGUGGCUAGCUUGGAGUUCCGUACAGCCGGUGUUGGAGUUGGUUCUUCUAGGGGUCCAUCUCCGCUUACGAUAGGACUCGCAGACACUAUUCCUUUAGCAGUUGCCUUCCAUGAGAUAGUACACUCUUAUUUUAGAGGUACCGAUGAAACUCGGUGUCAGGUAAAGCUCAGUGGAGAUAUGAUGCUGUCCUUCCCUGCCGGUAUUGUCGCCGUGCUGGCAAAUAAUCCAAGUCCUGCGAAGCUAACUUUUCGCGUGCGAAAUAGUAAUAGAUUGGAAAAAUUGUUCCCUAAUAAUCAGCUCGUCAGCAUGGAUGUUACACAAACAACUGUCGACAGUACAAUUUUUGAAUUCAACAUGAGUGCCUUAACUACGUUGUUACGCAAACAGGCUGAGCAAAAUCCCUCGGCUUCGUAUUUUAAUGUAGACAUACUCAAAUAUCAGAUCAAGUGCAAAGAGGGCGCAAGUUCAUGUCCUUUUCAGCUGGUUGCCUAUUGGAAAUGCGAAACGACUCAUACCGACCUUAAGAUUGAUUAUAAAUAUAAUAGUCGCGCUAUGGCUUCUCCGAGUCCAUUGUUGAACCUCCAUGUGGCUGCACCCAUAGACGGAGGUUUUAAGUCACUGAAUAGUAAACCUCAGGCUCAGUGGUUAUCAGAGACGAAUCGAGUACUGUGGAAGUUCACAGAACUAUCACAGCAUAGUGAAGGUAACGGUGUAGGUUCUCUGAAAGCACGAGUAGAACUUGGGCACGGGCCAGGGAACCAAGGAACUAUAUAUACACAGUUUAAUUGCGAAGGGACCACAUUAUCUGGAGUUGAGUUCGAGCUUCUAGGCCCGGGAUAUAGAUUAAGUUUAGUAAAGCGUAGAUUUGUAUCUGGAAAGUAUAUUUGUGACGGAGAUUCUGACUCACGGAGUAGAUACGCUGCUCCGCCAUCUAAUGUGGAUUGACGACUUCCAGAAUGGGCACCUCAGUGGGAGAGUUUGCCCAUUUAAUAUUGGUAUUCGCUUGUUCAUUCACUGCCCAUACCACGACUAAUGUCCGUUCACUUGUUCGAAAUCGGCGUGGGGAAGCCUGUUGGAUACCAAAGAAUGUGUGCGAUACAAUAUUAAGGAUAUAUAGUAGAUGGAUAAUUUGUACAGAAGCCGUGGUGCUGCGUGAUUUCAAUGUAGCAGGAUGUAAAGUUUACUCGCUUUAUGAGUCAAAAAGAAAACAAGGAAGGAUAUUGGGUACGAGAAAGGUGUAAGUGGAGGUCAUAAAAAUCUUCGUGAACCAGGAUGAGUAUGCUAUGAUACAUGAUCCUAGGUGAAGAAAAUACUUGGAUAGCAAUGUAACGAAAAACAUAGUUGGACUUCAUUGUACUAUUUUAGUAAAGUUUAUAUGUGAUGCGUAAACAAAGUGUAACUACGAUGACGACGGCGGCGACGAUAACGACAACAGAAAUGUUUAAGCUGUUGGGGAGUAAGUAGCCCAUUUUCGCAUAAAACCUUUGGUGUCCAGCAUAAUUUUCGCCACGAUACU
rnacentral:misc_RNA from 1 species